CCUACGGGUGGCUGCAGUGGGGAAUAUUGGACAAUGGGCGAAAGCCUGAUCCAGCCAUGCCGCGUGUGUGAAGAAGGCCUUCGGGUUGUAAAGCACUUUCAGUGGGGAAGAAAGCCUUGGGGCUAAUACCCUCGAGGAAGGACAUCACCCACAGAAGAAGCACCGGCUAACUCCGUGCCAGCAGCCGCGGUAAUACGGAGGGUGCGAGCGUUAAUCGGAAUUACUGGGCGUAAAGCGCGCGUAGGCGGUCUGAUAAGCCGGUUGUGAAAGCCCCGGGCUCAACCUGGGAACGGCAUCCGGAACUGUUAGGCUAGAGUGCAGGAGAGGAAGGUAGAAUUCCCGGUGUAGCGGUGAAAUGCGUAGAGAUCGGGAGGAAUACCAGUGGCGAAGGCGGCCUUCUGGACUGACACUGACGCUGAGGUGCGAAAGCGUGGGUAGCAAACAGGAUUAGAUACCCCUGUAGUC
rnacentral:rRNA from 1 species